GCAGGUCUCCAGGUUGCGGGACCCAGGGCUCCUGAGUGACCAGGGCGAGCCAGGGGCGCUGCGGAAGAGGAAAUGCAAUGAGCACCUUUCGGCUUGGGCCUACGGACUGACCUGUUGCGCGCACAGUCGCACCCGCCCGCCUUACUGAAAUCUCUCUCUUCUUCCCCUUCCCCAGUAUGGUGAGACUUGAACCUGCGAUCCUCCAGCCUCAGCCUCCCUGGCUGGUGUCUCCCGCAGCACCCUGGCUUCAAGGACUACCAUUUUCAUGUUAGGCCCAAAUACGUAGGUGAAAGAGGAGCUUAUCUGCUGAGCUGCCACUGGCAGGUGAAGGAGGGAGAAAUGUUAGCAAAACAAAUAGGAGAGAAACCUUUUUUUCCUAGGCAUGACAGGCUUGGGAAACAAAAUUACUAUCAGUCUCCAGGAAAGAGAGUGAGCUUGUUUAAACAAAAUUAGCUGCCUGUAAAUGCCCUGUGCAGGUAAUUAAGGAGAAAGAAUUGUGUGGAAAAUUAUGCCACUUAAUCUCUUCCCCAGGACACAGGCACCUCCUAGAAAUUCUCUCAGAAAAGUGGAGCUGCAAGUGUGAAACCGUCGCCCAGACUCAGCAGCUGUCCUUCCCGAACAGCUGGCAGCAAGCAGGAGUCUCUGCGGAGAGGCCAGCUGGUACCUCCCCUAGACCACCGCCAGAAGCCCAUAUCUAGGCCCGUUCUCGAGGCUGUGACUCACCAGGGGACUCUUGCCUGGUAACCUUUGAGGAUCUCACGAUGUAUUGGCCUCAGACUCUCAGGGAUCCUUCUGCUUCAGCUCCCACGUACUGGGAUUACAGAAGAAUAGUUUAAAAAUAUUAUUAAUGAGUUUUUCAGGAAGCACCAGGAGGAUGCAUCUAGCAAUUUAAAUACUAAAUCAUAAGAAGCGGGAAGAUGUUACGUUAAGAGGAAUUAAAAUGUCUAUACAAAGA